rnacentral:pre_miRNA from 1 species
GAAGGUAGGUUAUCCGUGUUGCCUUCGCUUUAUUUGUGACGAAUCAUACACGGUUGACCUAUUUUU